rnacentral:rRNA from 1 species
GACAGAGGGUGCAAACGUUGCUCGGAAUCACUGGGCGUAAAGGGCGUGUAGGCGGGAAGGAAAGUCAGAUGUGAAAUCCCUGGGCUCAACCCAGGAACUGCAUUUGAAACUCCCUUUCUUGAGUGUCGGAGAGGAAAGCGGAAUUCCUGGUGUAGAGGUGAAAUUCGUAGAUAUCAGGAGGAACACCGGUGGCGAAGGCGGCUUUCUGGACGACAACUGACGCUGGAGACGCGAAAGCGUGGGGGAG